AAAAUUACCUGACAGGCAGAUACCAUGAUCACGAAGGUGGUUUUCCCAGGGCGAGGCUCAUCCAUUGCACUCUGGGUGUGCUGACCACUGCGAUUUCCCCAAAUGUGGGAAAUUCUACUGCAUGAUUUGUGGUAGUGGGGGACUGUGUUUGUGCUUUCCCUUG